rnacentral:rRNA from 1 species
AUUGAACGCUGGCGGCAGGCCUAACACAUGCAAGUCGAACGGUAACAGGAAGCAGCUUGCUGCUUCGCUGACGAGUGGCGGACGGGUGAGUAAUGUCUGGGAAACUGCCUGAUGGAGGGGGACAACUACUGGAAACGGUAGCUAAUACCGCAUAACGUCGCAAGACCAAAGAGGGGGACCUUCGGGCCUCUUGCCAUCGGAUGUGCCCAGAUGGGAUUAGCUAGUAGGUGGGGUAACGGCUCACCUAGGCGACGAUCCCUAGCUGGUCUGAGAGGAUGACCAGCCACACUGGAACUGAGACACGGUCCAGACUCCUACGGGAGGCAGCAGUGGGGAAUAUUGCACAAUGGGCGCAAGCCUGAUGCAGCCAUGCCGCGUGUAUGAAGAAGGCCUUCGGGUUGUAAAGUACUUUCAGCGGGGAGGAAGGCGAUAAGGUUAAUAACCUUGUCGAUUGACGUUACCCGCAGAAGAAGCACCGGCUAACUCCGUGCCAGCAGUCGCGGUAAUACGGAGGGUGCAAGCGUUAAUCGGAAUUACUGGGCGUAAAGCGCACGCAGGCGGUCUGUCAAGUCGGAUGUGAAAUCCCCGGGCUCAACCUGGGAACUGCAUUCGAAACUGGCAGGCUAGAGUCUUGUAGAGGGGGGUAGAAUUCCAGGUGUAGCGGUGAAAUGCGUAGAGAUCUGGAGGAAUACCGGUGGCGAAGGCGGCCCCCUGGACAAAGACUGACGCUCAGGUGCGAAAGCGUGGGGAGCAAACAGGAUUAGAUACCCUGGUAGUCCACGCCGUAAACGAUGUCGACUUGGAGGUUGUGCCCUUGAGGCGUGGCUUCCGGAGCUAACGCGUUAAGUCGACCGCCUGGGGAGUACGGCCGCAAGGUUAAAACUCAAAUGAAUUGACGGGGGCCCGCACAAGCGGUGGAGCAUGUGGUUUAAUUCGAUGCAACGCGAAGAACCUUACCUACUCUUGACAUCCAGAGAACUUAGCAGAGAUGCUUUGGUGCCUUCGGGAACUCUGAGACAGGUGCUGCAUGGCUGUCGUCAGCUCGUGUUGUGAAAUGUUGGGUUAAGUCCCGCAACGAGCGCAACCCUUAUCCUUUGUUGCCAGCGGUCCGGCCGGGAACUCAAAGGAGACUGCCAGUGAUAAACUGGAGGAAGGUGGGGAUGACGUCAAGUCAUCAUGGCCCUUACGAGUAGGGCUACACACGUGCUACAAUGGCGCAUACAAAGAGAAGCGACCUCGCGAGAGCAAGCGGACCUCAUAAAGUGCGUCGUAGUCCGGAUUGGAGUCUGCAACUCGACUCCAUGAAGUCGGAAUCGCUAGUAAUCGUGGAUCAGAAUGCCACAGUGAAUACGUUCCCGGGCCUUGUACACACCGCCCGUCACACCAUGGGAGUGGGUUGCAAAAGAAGUAGGUAGCUUAACCUUCGGGAGGGCGCUUACCACUUUGUGAUUCAUGACUGGGGUG